rnacentral:rRNA from 1 species
AUUGAACGCUGGCGGCAGGCCUAACACAUGCAAGUCGAACGGUAACAGGAAGCAGCUUGCUGCUUUGCUGACGAGUGGCGGACGGGUGAGUAAUGUCUGGGAAACUGCCCGAUGGAGGGGGAUAACUACUGGAAAUGGUAGCUAAUACCGCAUAACGUCGCAAGACCAAAGAGGGGGACCUUAGGGCCUCUUGCCAUCGGAUGUGCCCAGAUGGGAUUAGCUAGUAGGUGGGGUAACGGCUCACCUAGGCGACGAUCCCUAGCUGGUCUGAGAGGAUGACCAGCCACACUGGAACUGAGACACGGUCCAGACUCCUACGGGAGGCAGCAGUGGGGAAUAUUGCACAAUGGGCGCAAGCCUGAUGCAGCCAUGCCGCGUGUAUGAAGAAGGCCUUCGGGUUGUAAAGUACUUUCAGCGGGGAGGAAGGGAGUAAAGUUAAUACCUUGGCUCAUUGACGUUACCCGCAGAAGAAGCACCGGCUAACUCCGUG